rnacentral:rRNA from 1 species
GUACUGACACUGAGGUGCGAAAGCGUGGGUAGCGAACAGGAUUAGAUACCCUGGUAGUCCACGCCGUAAACGAUGACAACUAGCUGUUAGGAGACUAUGUCUUUUAGUGGCGCAGCUAACGUUUUAAGUUGUCCGCCUGGGGAGUACGGCCGCAAGGCUAAAACUCAAAUGAAUUGACGGGGACCCGCACAAGCAGUGGAUCAUGUGGUUUAAUUCGACGCAACGCGCAGAACCUUACCAACCCUUGACAUACCUGUCGCGGUUACCAGGGAUGGUUUCCUUCAGUUCGGCUGGACAGGAUACAGGUGCUGCAUGGCUGUCGUCAGCUCGUGUCGUGAGAUGUUCGGUUAAGUCCGGCAACGAGCGCAACCCACGUCCUUAGUUACCAGCAUUUAGUUGGGUACCCUAGGGAGACUGCCGGUGAUAAGCCGGAGGAAGGUGUGGAUGACGUCAAGUCCUCAUGGCCCUUACGGGUUGGGCUACACACGUGCUACAAUGGCAGUGACAAUGGGUUAAUCCCAAAAAACUGUCUCAGUUCGGAUUGGGGUCUGCAACUCGACCCCAUGAAGUCGGAAUCGCUAGUAAUCGCGUAACAGCAUGACGCGGUGAAUACGUUCCCGGGCCUUGUACACACCGCCCGUCACACCAUGGGAGUUGGUUCUACCCGACGACGCUGCGCUAACCCUUCGGGGAGGCAGGCGGCCACGGUAGGAUCAGCGACUGGGGUGAAGUCGUAACAAGGUAACCGUA